rnacentral:tRNA from 1 species
GGGUCCGUGGUCUAGGGGUUAUGACGCCGCCCUCACACGGCGGAGGUCGAGGGUUCGAAUCCCUCCGGACCCA